rnacentral:rRNA from 1 species
GGCUAANUCCGUGCCAGCAGCCGCGGUAAUACGGAGGAUGCGAGCGUUNUCCGGAUUUAUUGGGUUUGAAGGGUGCGUAGGCGGCCUGUUAAGUCAGCGGUGAANUCUAGGGGCUUAACUCCUAAAUUGCCAUUGAUACUGGUGGGCUUGAGUGUAGAUGAGGUAGGCGGAAUGCGUGGUGUAGCGGUGGAAUGCAUAGAUAUCACGCAGAACUCCAAUUGCGAAGGCAGCUUACUAAGGUACAACUGACGCUGAAGCACGAAAGCGUGGGUAUCAAACAGGAUUAGAUACCCUGGUAGUCCACGCAGUAAACGAUGAUAACUGGGCGUAUGCGAUAUACAGUAUGCUCNUAAGCGAAAGCGUUAAGUUAUCCACCUGGGGAGUACGCCGGCAACGGUGAAACUCAAAGGAAUUGACGGGGGCCCGCACAAGCGGAGGAACAUGUGGUUUAAUUCGAUGAUACGCGAGGAACCUUACCCGGGAUUGAAAUGUAGAUGACCGCCGGUGAAAGUCGGCUUCCCUUCGGGGCAUCUAUGUAGGUGCUGCAUGGUUGUCGUCAGCUCGUGCCGUGAGGUGUCGGCUUAAGUGCCAUAACGAGCGCAACCCCUGUCUACGGUUGCCAUCAGGUAAUGCUGGGAACUCCGUAGAGACUGCCGUCGUAAGGCGUGAGGAAGGUGGGGAUGACGUCAAAUCAGCACGGCCCUUACAUCCGGGGCGACACACGUGUUACAAUGGUGGGGACAAAGGGCAGCUACCUGGCGACAGGAUGCGAAUCUCCAAACCCCAUCACAGUUCGGAUCGGAGUCUGCAACUCGACUCCGUGAAGCUGGAUUCGCUAGUAAUCGCGCAUCAGCCAUGGCGCGGUGAAUACGUUCCCGGGCCUUGUACACACCGCCCGUCAAGCCAUGGGAGUCUGGAGUACCUAAAGUCCGUACCUGCGAGGGUCGGCCUAGGGUAAU